rnacentral:piRNA from 1 species
CAAGUGCUGAGAUUGCUGGCA